rnacentral:rRNA from 1 species
GACGAACGCUGGCGGCGUGCUUAACACAUGCAAGUCGAACGGAAAGGCCCCUUUUGGGUUACUUGAUUGGCGAACGGGUGAGUAACACGUGAGUAACCUACCCUUGACUUCGGGAUAACUUCAGGAAACUGGGGCUAAUACCUGAUAGGAAUCCUCGCUUCAUGGUGGGGGUUGGAAAGCUUCGGCGGUUUUGUGUGGACUCGCGGCUUAUUUGUUUGUUGGUGGGGUAGUGGCUUACCAAGGCUUUGAUGGGUGGCCGGCCUGCGAGGGCGGCCGGCCACAUUGGGACUGAGAUACGGCCCAGACUCCUACGGGAGGCAGCAGUGGGGAAUAUUGCACAAUGGGCGGAAGCCUGAUGCAGCAAAGCCGCGUGCGGGAAGACGGCCUUCGGGUUGGAAACCGCUUUCAGCAGGGGCGAAGCUUGUGGUGACGGUACCUGCAGAAGAAGCACCGGCUAACUACGUG